GCAUUAUACAGCGAAACUGCGAAUGGCUCAUUAUAUAAGUUAUCGUUUAUUUGAUAGUACCUUACUACAUGGAUAACCGUGGUAAUUCUAGAGCUAAUACAUGCUAAAAAUCCCAACUUCGGAAGGGAUGUAUUUAUUAGAUUAAAAACCAAUGCCCUUCGGGGCUAACAGGUGAUUCAUAAUAACUUCUCGAAUCGCAUGGCCUUGUGCCGGCGAUGGUUCAUUCAAAUUUCUUCCCUAUCAACUUUCGAUGUUUGGGUAGUGGCCAAACAUGGUGGCAACGGGUAACGGAGGGUUAGGGCUCGACCCCGGAGAAGGAGCCUGAGAAACGGCUACUACAUCCAAGGAAGGCAGCAGGCGCGCAAAUUACCCAAUGCUGACUCAGCGAGGUAGUGACGAUAAAUACUGAUACAGGGCUCUUUUGGGUCUUGUAAUCGGAAUGAGUACAAUUUAAAUCCCUUAACGAGGAACAAUUGGAGGGCAAGUCUGGUGCCAGCAGCCGCGGUAAUUCCAGCUCCAAUAGCGUAUAUUAAAGUUGUUGUGGUUAAAAAGCUCGUAGUUGAACCUUGGGCCUGGCUGGCCGGUCCGCCUCACCGCGUGUACUGGUCCGGCCGGACCUUUCCCUCUGUGGAACCCCAUGCCCUUUACUGGGUGUGGCGGGGAAACAGGACUUUUACUUUGAAAAAAUUAGAGUGCUCCAGGCAGGCCUAUGCUCGAAUACAUUAGCAUGGAAUAAUAGAAUAGGACGUGUGGUUCUAUUUUGUUGGUUUCUAGGACCGCCGUAAUGAUUAAUAGGGACAGUCGGGGGCAUCAGUAUUCAAUUGUCAGAGGUGAAAUUCUUGGAUUUAUUGAAGACUAACUACUGCGAAAGCAUUUGCCAAGGAUGUUUUCAUUAAUCAGGAACGAAAGUUAGGGGAUCGAAGACGAUCAGAUACCGUCGUAGUCUUAACCAUAAACUAUGCCGACUAGGGAUCGGGCGAUGUUACUAUUUGACUCGCUCGGCACCUUACGAGAAAUCAAAGUGCUUGG
rnacentral:rRNA from 1 species